rnacentral:lncRNA from 1 species
AUUUCACCCAUAACAACUGGUAUCAGAGCCAACCUUCCAUGGCUGAGGCUAUGCCGCCAGACACUCGAACCGCAAAGAUAAAAAGGCUUGAAGAAUCCGUUGAGCUGACUAAAAGAGAAACCAACAACAAGUAUGAAUUACUCGUUACUCUUGUGAAAGAACAAGGCCAGAAGCUGGACACCAUUACAGACUAUCAUGGAACACAGAUAGGAGACAUAAAGAAUUUACUCAGUGGUCUGACGCAACAGCUGGAGUUUGUCAUGCAAAGAAUUCCAUUUGCUGUAGGGGAAUCUAGUCAAGGCAGGGAUAAGCAGGUGGCUCAUCAGAAUGAAUCUACAGGCAGACCUAGCUAUUCAAAUGAGGGAAGGCCAGCUGCUUAUAAGGUACACAGGCCAAAACACCUCUUUCCAGUAUUCGGGGGGGAUGAUGUGCAUAGAUGGUUGUAUAAAUGCAAUCAAUACUUUGAGAUUGAGGAAAUUGAGGACCCUGAGAAACUGAAACUUGCUUCUUAUUAUCUAGAUGGCAUUGCUUUAUACUGGCACCAAAAUUUCAUGAGGAACUUAAAUAAUCGGAGAAUAAGUUGGGAUGAGUAUGUAGAAGCCUUGUAUUAUAGAUUUGGUGGCAGAAGGACCCUAUGGAAGACCUAAUUGAUCUGAAACAAGUAGGAACACUGGAAAACUAUAUCCAUGAUUUUGACAUUUUAUGGAACAAGGCAGGCAUAGGGGAGAAACAAGCUUUAGUUAUAUUCUUGAGGGGUUUAGAAUUGGAGAUUAAAAACACUGUUAAAAUGUUCGAACCUAAGGACUUGAGGCAAGCUUACAACCUCGCUAGACUUCAUGCAAACACCUUAGCUCACAGACAAAAUGCAGGAUUCACUCCAAAGCACCCAACCUCCACUACCAUCCACAGCCUGCCACAAAAAACCAUGCAACCACCAAACGUUAAUCCUACAAAUCUUGUAACAGUCAUCUUACCUAAGGCCAAUCCUACAUAUUGGAAAAAUAACAGUGCUCAAAAUUCUUUCAACCAAACUACCAGUAAACCCACUAAAUCUAUAAAAAACCAAGAGUUUGAAGAACGUAGAUUAAAGGGGUUGAGUUUCUGGUGUGAUGAUAAAUUUGUCCCAGGUCAUCGGUGUAGAAACAAGAGAUUGUAUUCUCUGAGUGUUGUUGAUGAGGAGGAAGCCAGUAGAGGAGAGGAACAAUUUGAGGAGGGGUGCCCAAUAGGAGAAUUAAUACCUCAAAUGCUCUUGAGGGAACUGUCGGGUUCCACACCAUGAAAGUCACAGGGAAGGUGGGAAAGAAAAUUCUCCACAUUCUUGUGGAUUCGGGAAGCACUCACAACUUUCUAAACUCUUUAUUAGCCCAUAAAUUACAUAACAACCUAACCACCAUCACCCCUAUAACUAUACAAGCUGCCAAUGGAGGGAAGAUGUCGUGUACUUCAGUAUGUAAGGGCUUGAAAUGGGAGAUACAAGGGGUGUGCUUUAAAGCCGAUGUGUUCAUCAUGGACCUAAGUAACUAUGACAUGGUGUUAGGUGUUCAAUGGCUCUCUAUGCUAGGGGAUAUUUUGUGCAACUACAAACAUCUUUGGAUGUUCUUUGAUUGGCAAGGUCAAAGGGUGUUGCUUAAGGGAGAGAGCCCAAUCAAAUUCUAAGGUAUUGAACUGGCACAACUUCAGGGGUUAUUAAACAAUUCAAAACAAGUGGCAGAACUUCAUUUAUGUAGUCUUCAAGUCUUGGAGGAUGAUGAUUUCACUAUUAGCUCCCUGAUAGUAAAACAACUUCAACAUCAAGAUACUACGUUAACUACCUUGCUAGAGAAUUACAGGGACCUCUUUCAGGAGCCUGAAGGACUACCUUCAGCUAGGAGGCACGAUCAUAUUAUUCCAUUGAAUGAGGGAAGUCAACCCGUUAACUUGAGACCAUACAGGUACUCAGGGCUGCAAAAGGAUGUACUUGAAAAAAUGGUGAAGGAAAUGUUGGGAACUGGGAUUAUAAGGCCUAGCAACAGCCCUUUUGCCUCUCCUGUCGUGUUGGUUAAGAAGGACUCCACAUGGUACCUCUGUAUCGAUUAUAGAGCACUGAAUAAGUUGACCAUCAAGGAUAAAUACCCUAUUCCAGUGGUGGAAGAGCUGCUGGAGGAGCUGGUGGGAGCAACAGUAUUUUCGAAGAUUGACCUUCGAUCUGGUUAUCACCAGAUUAGGAUGGGUUCGGGGGAGGAAUUCAAGACAACUUUCAGGACACACAAUGGCCACUACGAGUUCUUAGUUAUGUCGUUUGGAUUAACUAACGCUUCAGCUACGUUUCAGAGCUUGAUGAAUGAGGUUUUCAGAAAAGAUCUUAGGAAGUUCAUUUUGGUGUUUUUCGACGACAUAUUAAUCUCCAGCAAGACAUCUGUAACUCAUUAUGAACACUUGCAGACUGUUUUCGACCUCCUGAGGAUACAUCAGCUAGUUGCAAAGGAGAGUAAGUGUAGCUUUAGCAGUGAACAAGUCGAAUAUUUGGGCCACAUUAUAUCCAAAUAUGGAGUUGCUACCGACCCCAACAAAAUCAAAGCUAUAAUUGAGUGGCCAUUGCCUAGGAACUUACGGUAACUCAGAGGUUUUUUGGGGCUUACAGGCUACUACAGAAGAUUUGUCAAGGGAUACGGAUCCAUUUGCAAACCCUUGACACAACUCCUUAAAAAGGAUGCUUUUGGCUGGAACCUAGAAGCAACUAAUGCGUUCACCUUACUUAAAGAGCUGAUGACCACUCCUCCAGUGUUAUCUUUGCCAGCUCUAGAUAAAUUGUUUGUGGUAGAGACAGACGCAUCCAUGGUGGGUGUAGGUGCAGUAUUGAUGCAAGAAGGGCACCCCAUUGCCUACAUCAGCAAGUCUCUAGGGCCUAAACAGCAGGACAUGUCUAUUUAUGAAAAGGAAAUGUUGGUUAUACUGCAUGCAGUCAACAAAUAGAGGCACUACCUAUGGGGGCGACACUUUAAGAUUCGCACGGACCAUGUAAGUCUUAAAUAUUUGCUUGAUCAAAAGAUAGUUACUCCUAUGCAGCAUCAAUGGUUAAUUAAGUUGAUGGGGUACGACUAUGAGAUCGAAUACAGAAAAGGGAAAGACAAUGUGGUAGUUGAUGCCCUCUCACGAACUUCAAGCCAAUUACUUUAUUCCUUGGUUAUUUCUUCAAUAUCUACCCAGCUUAUAGAUGAGAUUGCACAAUCUUGGCAAAAAGAUCCACAUUUGCAGACUGUCAUUCACAACCUGCAAGUCUCUCCCACUUCCUUAUCUCAUUACGCAUGGGUCAAUGGCCAUCUACAAAGGAAGGGUAAAAUAGUGGUGGGACGUGAUGUUGAGUUACACAGAAAAUUAAUCUCCUUAUAUCACAGCUCAGCCGUAGGGGUCACUCAGGAAGCACGGCUAUUGCAAAAAGAGUGGGUAGUCUGUUCUAUUGGAAAGGCCAGCAGAAACACAUUCGACAGUUUGUGUGAGCAUGCUCAAUCUGUCAGCAAAACAAGAAUGAAAAUGUAGCUACUCCAGGACUACUACAACCUCUGCCUAUCCCUUAUGCUCCAUUCAUUGAUAUCAGCAUGGAUUUCAUCGAUGGAUUGCCUAAAUCUGAAGGCAAGGAUGUCAUUAUGGUGGUAGUUGAUCGCUUCAGUAAGUAUGCUCAUUUCUUGAGCCUUAGCCACCCCUAUUCAGCACCUACCGUGGCUAAGAUAUUCAUGGAUAAUGUGUAUAAACUACAUGGACUUCCAGCAUCAGUUGUCAGUGACAGGGACCCCGUAUUUCUGCGUAAAUUCUGGAAAGAAUUGUUCUCAAUCCAAGGGGUUAACUUACCAUACUCCUCAGCCUAUCACCCUCAAACCGACGGUCAAACAGAGAUCGUCAAUAAAUGUGUGGAGAACUACCUCCGAUACAUGACCGGGACCAACCCAAAUCAAUGGGCGCGAUGGCUAUCACUUGCAGAAUGGUGGUAUAAUACCAAUUUCCAUUCUUCAACUCAGCUCACUCCCUAUGAAAUACUGUAUGGGUUUCCUCCUCCUAUUCAUGUUCCUUAUUUUCCUAGAGACUCUACAGUCAAGUCAAUUGAUGACAUCCUAACUAGGCGGGAGGAAAUGCUUAAACAAGUCAAGAAAAACCUACAAGCUGCUCAGAACAGGAUGACACAAAUUGCUAAUAACAGAUGCAGUGAAAGAAGCUUCUCUAUCGGGGACUAUGUUUAUCUUAAACUACAGCAUUACAUGCAAAAAUCAGUAGUCCACAGGUCAUCACAGAAACUAUCAGCAAAGUAUUUCGGUCCUUACCUGGUGAUCAACAAAAUUGGCAAUGUGGCAUACAAGCUAGAACUCCCAACUUCAUCAACCAUACAUCCGGUGUUCCAUGUGUCACAACUUAAACGACAUGUCGGGAGCCACCCAGUACAGA